rnacentral:rRNA from 1 species
GGCUUAGAGUUUGAUCAUGGCUCAGGAUGAACGCUGGCGGCGUGCUUAACACAUGCAAGUCGAACGAAGCGGCUGGACGGAAGUUUUCGGACGGAAGAGCAGCUGACUGAGUGGCGGACGGGUGAGUAACGCGUGGGUAACCUGCCGUAUACAGGGGGAUAACAGAGAGAAAUUUCUGCUAAUACCGCAUAAGCGCACGAAGACCGCAUGGUCCGGUGUGAAAAGCCGAGACGGUAUACGAUGGACCCGCGUCUGAUUAGGCAGUUGGUGGGGUAACGGCCUACCAAACCGACGAUCAGUAGCCGGCCUGAGAGGGUGGACGGCCACAUUGGGACUGAGACACGGCCCAAACUCCUACGGGAGGCAGCAGUGGGGAAUAUUGCACAAUGGGGGAAACCCUGAUGCAGCGACGCCGCGUGAGCGAAGAAGUAUUUCGGUAUGUAAAGCUCUAUCAGCAGGGAAGAAGAAAGACGGUACCUGACUAAGAAGCCCCGGCUAACUACGUGCCAGCAGCCGCGGUAAUACGUAGGGGGCAAGCGUUAUCCGGAUUUACUGGGUGUAAAGGGAGCGCAGACGGCAUGGCAAGUCUGAAGUGAAAGGCAUGGGCUCAACCCGUGGACUGCUUUGGAAACUGUCAGGCUAGAGUGUCGGAGAGGCAAGUG